rnacentral:lncRNA from 1 species
GUGCUGGGGAUUGAACCCAGGACUUUGUGGAUGCAAGGCAAGCACUCUACUAACUGAGCUAUGUCCCCAGAAAGCAGGCUCCAAUAUCUCUCAUUCUCCUGCCUGAGGACUCUAUUAUUGGGAAGCAUUUUCCCCCUCCACAGUUCUGGGGAUUGAACCUAGGGCCUCAUUUGUGCUAGUCAAGCACUCUACUGUUGAGGUAUACCUCAGAGCCUGGAAUAAGAUUUCAAAGUAGCUUUUGUGCUGAUACAGUAGUACACACCCGUAAUCCCAGCUGCUCAGGAGGCUGAAGCAGGAGAAUUGUCAGUUUAAGACCAGUCUCACAAACUUAGCAAGAAAAAGGACUGGGAUGUUGCUCAGUGGUUAAGCACACCUGGGUUCAAUCCCUGGUAAACCUCCCCCCACAAAAAAAGUACAUUGUUUAGGAGCCGGAGCUGCAGCUCAGUGGUAGAGUGCUUACCUCGCAUGUGUGAGGCACUGAGUUCGAUCCUUGGCACCACAUAAAAAUAAAUAAAAAAGAUUCUUUUUAAGAAAAGUACAUUGUUGAGUGGUUUGACCCCAUACUCGGUGGGACAGAGACAAGCAAUGCUCAUGCUCUGGGAGUGGUCUCUAAUUCCUCAUGUUAGCCUACAUGUGCACAGAUUAUAAAGCUUUGUUUCUCUCAUUAGGAUUCUCAAUAAAUCAUUGCAGCAACCCUGUGAGUAGUAGAAAAAGAAAUGAAGAUUCAUUUUCUUCAUCUGGCUUGGUCAGGAUCCAUAGCUGAGUGACACUGCACACCCAUGUUUGCUUUUGAACCUAAGCAGAGCUUGCUUCUGUCUCUGUUAUCCCUCAGACAGGACUUAAGUGACACUGGCUUUACCUCACAUCCAACACUGCUCUUCUCCACUCAUUUAUGCCUUUGCUAUGUUCUUGUGGUUGCCUGGCACCCCGUCAAGAUUGUCCCUCCCCCAGCUAUAGGUGUAAAAUAAGUUCCCAUUCAUUAAACAUGUGUGUGUGUGUGUGUGUGUGUGUGUGUGUGUGAAUAGAUAAACACUAUAGUAUUGAAAAGUAUUAAUGAAAACUAGCAAAAUUCAAAUUGCUGUUUAAGCCCUGGUCAUUCAUUCAAAAUGUAUUGAUCAAAUAUAUACAAUGUACCCAGCAUUGCUUUAGACUUCCAGGAUAAAGUUUCCUAUUCACUUGCAGUUUAUAUUCUAGUAUGAGACCAUGAAAUAAACAAAAUUUUCAAAGA